rnacentral:rRNA from 1 species
GUGCCAGCAGCCGCGGUAAUACAGAGGUCACAAGCGUUAUCCGGAUUUAUUGGGCGUAAAGCGUUUCGUAGGUGGGUUUGUUAGUUAUCUUUCAAAGACCAGGGCUCAACCUUGGGAAGGGAGAUAAUACUGCAAGUCUUGAAAUAUGAUGGGGCAUCUGGAACUGAUGGUGUAGUAGUGAAAUACGUUGAUAUCAUCAGGAACUCCAAGGGCGAAGGCAGGAUGCUAAUCAUUUUUUGACACUGAGGAACGACAGCUAGGGGAGCGAAAGGGAUUAGAAACCCGGGUAGUCC